rnacentral:rRNA from 1 species
AUUGAACGCUGGCGGCAGGCCUAACACAUGCAAGUCGAGCGGUAGAGAGGUGCUUGCAUCUCUUGAGAGCGGCGGACGGGUGAGUAAUGCCUAGGAAUCUGCCUGGUGGUGGGGGAUAACGUUCGGAAACGGACGCUAAUACCGCAUACGUCCUACGGGAGAAAGCGGGGGAUCUUCGGACCUCGCGCCAUUAGAUGAGCCUAGGUCGGAUUAGCUAGUUGGUGAGGUAAUGGCUCACCAAGGCGACGAUCCGUAACUGGUCUGAGAGGAUGAUCAGUCACACUGGAACUGAGACACGGUCCAGACUCCUACGGGAGGCAGCAGUGGGGAAUAUUGGACAAUGGGCGAAAGCCUGAUCCAGCCAUGCCGCGUGUGUGAAGAAGGUCUUCGGAUUGUAAAGCACUUUAAGUUGGGAGGAAGGGUAGUAACCUAAUACGUUGCUACUUUGACGUUACCGACAGAAUAAG